GACGAACGCUGGCGGCGUGCCUAAUACAUGCAAGUUGAGCGCUGAAGGUUGGUACUUGUACCAACUGGAUGAGCAGCGAACGGGUGAGUAACGCGUGGGGAAUCUGCCUUUGAGCGGGGGACAACAUUUGGAAACGAAUGCUAAUACCGCAUAAAAACUUUAAACACAAGUUUUAAGUUUGAAAGAUGCAAUUGCAUCACUCAAAGAUGAUUCCGCGUUGUAUUAGCUAGUUGGUGAGGUAAAGGCUCACCAAGGCGAUGAUAGAUAGCCGACCUGAAAGGGUGAUCCGCCAAAUUGGGAAUUAGACAAGGCCCAAAAUCCUACGGGAGGCAGCAGUAAGGAAUCUUCGGCAAUGGACGAAAGUCUGACCGAGCAACGCCGCGUGAGUGAAGAAGGUUUUCGGAUCGUAAAACUCUGUUGGUAGAGAAGAAAGUUGGUGAGAGUGGAAAGCUCAUCAAGUGACGGUAACUACACAGAAAGGGACGGCUAACUACGUG
rnacentral:rRNA from 1 species